CCGGCUCCGCGACGGCUUCUCCAGCCAAUGGGCGGUAUGUCAAAGAGAAAAAAUAAGAAACAUCAUUUAUCUUCAGUUCAUGCAUUUUGUUACACACCUGCUACAUGAGAAAUAUGGAAGGAUCCCCAUGGAAGUGGUCAUGUUAUCAAGCUUAUCAGAGUCCAAGGACUGGGCAAUUUUCUCAGUCAUACAACGUAGAUUUACGU